rfam:Aspergillus aculeatus ATCC 16872 unplaced genomic scaffold ASPACscaffold_2, whole genome shotgun sequence.
GCGCCAAUCUUCUAGUGGUUAGGAUCCAACCUUCCCAUUCUCAUAGGAUUAGGUUGGGACGCGAGUUCGAGUCUCGCUUGGCGCA